ensembl:miRNA MIR581 microRNA 581
GUUCUGUGAAGGUAUUCUUGUGUUCUCUAGAUCAGUGCUUUUAUAAAACUUGUGUGAUCUAGAGAACACAAAGAAUACCUUCACAGAACCAUCUGC